UGAGAGAACUCAGGAGAAGGAACUCGGCAAAUUGACACCGUAACUUCGGAAGAAGGUGUGCCUUUAGUAUGUGAACCUGUACAAGGGGAGCAGAAUGAGGCCGCAGAGAAUCGGUGGCUGCGACUGUUUAAUAAAAACACAGCACUCUGCUAACACGAAAGUGGACGUAUAGGGUGUGACGCCUGCCCGGUGCCGGAAGGUUAAGUGAUGGGGUGCAAGCUCUUGAUCGAAGCCCCGGUAAACGGCGGCCGUAACAAUAACGGUCCUAAGGUAGCGAAAUUCCUUGUCGGGUAAGUUCCGUCCUGCACGAAUGGCGUAACGAUGGCCACACUGUCUCCUCCUGAGACUCAGCGAAGUUGAAAUGUUUGUGAUGAUGCAAUCUCCCCGCGGCAAGACGGAAAGACCCCAUGAACCUUUACUGUAGCUUUGCAUUGGACUGUGAACCGAUCUGUGUAGGAUAGCUGGGAGGCUUUGAAGCGGUGCCGCUAGGUGUCGUGGAGCCAACCUUGAAAUACCAGCCUGGUUUGUUUGCGGUUCUAACCUUGGUCCGUUAUCCGGAUUGGGGACAGUGCAUGGUAGGCAGUUUGACUGGGGCGGUCUCCUCCUAAAAGGUAACGGAGGAGCUCGAAGGUCCGCUAGGUACGGUCGGACAUCGUACUGAUAGUGCAAUGGCAUAAGCGGGCUUAACUGCGAGACUGACAAGUCGAGCAGGUGCGAAAGCAGGACAUAGUGAUCCGGUGGUUCUGAAUGGAAGGGCCAUCGCUCAACGGACAAAAGGCACUCUGGGGAUAACAGGCUGAUUCCUCCCAAGAGUUCAUAUCGACGGGGGAGUUUGGCACCUCGAUGUCGGCUCAUCACAUCCUGGGGCUGUAGUCGGUCCCAAGGGUAUGGCUGUUCGCCAUUUAAAGUGGUACGUGAGCUGGGUUUAAAACGUCGUGAGACAGUUUGGUCCCUAUCUGCCGUGGGCGCUGGAAAUUUGAGGGGGCCUGCUCCUAGUACGAGAGGACUGGAGUGGACGCACCCCUGGUGUACCUGUUGUCACGCCAGUGGCAUCGCAGGGUAGCUAUGUGCGGAAGAGAUAAACGCUGAAAGCAUCUAAGCGUGAAACUCGCCUCAAGAUGAGAUUUCCCGGGAACUUGAUUCCCCUAAAGGGUCGUUCUAGACCAGGACGUUGAUAGGUCAGGUGUGGAAGCGUGGUAACACGUUAAGCUAACUGAUACUAAUUGCCCGUGCGGCUUGAUCCC
rnacentral:rRNA from 1 species